rnacentral:lncRNA from 1 species
GUCAAAAUUAAAAUUAAAAUACUAUCACCAACCUGUGUCCCUGUGGCUUGAGAAGCUGAGGCAGGAGGAUUGCAAGUUCAAAGGCAGCCUCAGCAGCUUAGUGAGGUCCUAAGCAAUUUAGCAAGACCCUGUCUCUAAAUAAAAUCCCCUGGGGAUAUUGGAGGGGUUAAGUUAAAAAAAAAAUAGACACAAGAUGGCAGAGUGGAGAAAGGAAGCACAGCCCAGCAGUUCCUCAGCUC